AUUGAACGCUGGCGGCAGGCCUAACACAUGCAAGUCGAGCGGAUGAAGGGAGCUUGCUCCUGGAUUCAGCGGCGGACGGGUGAGUAAUGCCUAGGAAUCUGCCUGGUAGUGGGGGAUAACGUCCGGAAACGGGCGCUAAUACCGCAUACGUCCUGAGGGAGAAAGUGGGGGAUCUUCGGACCUCACGCUAUCAGAUGAGCCUAGGUCGGAUUAGCUAGUUGGUGGGGUAAAGGCCUACCAAGGCGACGAUCCGUAACUGGUCUGAGAGGAUGAUCAGUCACACUGGAACUGAGAAACGGUCCAGACUCCUACGGGAGGCAGCAGUGGGGAAUAUUGGACGAGGGGCGAAAGCCUGAUCCAGCCAUGCCGCGUGUGUGAAGAAGGUCUUCGGAUUGUAAAGCACUUUAAGUUGGGGGGAAGGGCAGUAAGUUAAUACCUUGCUGUUUUGACGGUACCGACAGAAUAAGCACCGGCUAACUUCGUG
rnacentral:rRNA from 1 species